AUGCUCUAGAGCUGCAUCAUCCAGGAGAAACAGAGUGUGAGCCAUGAAUGGGGACCAGAGGUACAAUUUCAGACUUUCUAGGAGCCACGUUAAAAAGUUAAAAAGAAACAGCAAGAUCUGGUGUAUAUUUUGCACUCAGAGCACAUCUCAAUUCGGACUGGCCACAAGUGCUCAAUUCAGACAGGUCACAUAUGGCUAGUGACUGUGGUGCUGGACUGGCUAAAGGGACCAUUGACCCGGAAUCUGACCAAGCAGAUCCUGGGAGCUGCCAACUACUGAAGCCCACAUGCCCCAGAGCCCACGCUCUACAAAAAGAGAAGCCACUGCAGUGAGAAGCCUGCAUUCAACUAGAGAGCAGACCCCACUCACCAAAGCUAAAGACAAGCCCAAGCAGCAACAGAGACCCCACUCAGCC
ensembl:lncRNA